AAUGAACGCUGGCGGCGCGCCUAAUACAUGCAAGUCGAGCGAGAAGACGUAGCAAUACGUUUGUAAAGCGGCGAACGGGUGAGGAAUACAUGGGGUAACCUACCCUCGAGUGGGGAAGUAACUAGCCGAAGGUUAGCUAAUACCGCGUACGCUUCUUGGACUUCGGUUCAGGGAGGAAAGCGAUGCCGAGAGUAUCGCGCUCUUGGAUGGGCUCAUGUCCUAUCAGCUGUUGGUGAGGUAACGGCUCACCAAGGCUUCGACGGGUAGCUGGUCUGAGAGGACGAUCAGCCACACUGGCACUGCGACACGGGCCAGACUCCUACGGGAGGCAGCAGUAAGGAAUAUUGCGCAAUGGGCGAAAGCCUGACGCAGCGACGCCGC
rnacentral:rRNA from 1 species